rnacentral:rRNA from 1 species
UACGUAGGGGGCAAGCGUUGUCCGGAAUCAUUGGGCGUAAAGCGCGUGUAGGCGGUUCGGUAAGUCUGCUGUGAAAGUCCAGGGCUCAACCCUGGGAUGCCGGUGGAUACUGUCGGACUAGAGUACGGAAGAGGCGAGUGGAAUUCCCGGUGUAGCGGUGAAAUGCGCAGAUAUCGGGAGGAACACCAAUUGCGAAGGCAGCUCGCUGGGACGU